rnacentral:rRNA from 1 species
UCCGUUUGAUCCCGGCAGAGGUUACUGCUAUCGAGGUUCGACUAAGCCAUGCGAGUCGAAUGUAGCAAUACAUGGCGAACUGCUCAGUAACACGUGGACAACCUGCCCUUAGGACGGGGAUAAACCCGGGAAACUGGGUAUAAUACCCGAUAGGUCUCGAUUGCUGGAAUGCAUCGAGAUUUAAAGCUCCGGCGCCUAAGGAUGGGUCUGCGGCCUAUCAGGUAGUAGUGGGUGUAGCGUACCUACUAGCCUACGACGGGUACGGGUUGUGAGAGCAAGAGCCCGGAGAUGGAUUCUGAGACACGAAUCCAGGCCCUACGGGGUGCAGCAGGCGCGAAAACUUUACAAUGCUGGCAACAGCGAUAAGGGAACCUCGAGUGCCAGGUUACAAAUCUGGCUGUCGAGAUGCCUAAAAAGCAUUUCAUAGCAAGGGCCGGGCAAGACCGGUGCCAGCCGCCGCGGUAACACCGGCGGCUCGAGUGGUAACCGUUAUUAUUGGG